UCCUCUGAUCCAAAGUGCCGCCAGGCUGCUGCCGCUCCAUUGCCUCUAAAAUAAACUGCCGUCAGGCUGCUGCAGCACCACAUCGCUUGCCGUUUCAAGUGCCGCCCUGCCGUGCUGAAGAUCAAGCAUCAUCGUUAAGCUGCCGGUGAACUGCAAGAGCUUCCGCAAAGGCUUGCCGGCAAAAGCUGCUGUUUCGUGAGUCCCAAAAGGUGAGGAGCCAUAGCGCUCUUCUGAUUCCUCUCCUCCUAUUCUGGUUCUCCUGGCUUCACCGACGAUCGGCAACAAGCAAAUCUUCAUCGCCGGCAUCAUGACCAAGGCCUCAUGCACAGCUUCACUCUUUUGAGUUAGUUGCCAUGAGAUGUUUCAAGACCCUAUGCCGAAUUUGUCAUACAA
rnacentral:lncRNA from 1 species